rnacentral:rRNA from 1 species
GAACGCUAGCUACAGGCUUAACACAUGCAAGUCAGGGGAAACGAUAUUGGAAGCUUGCUUCUGAUAGGCGUCGACCGGCGCACGGGUGAGUAACGCGUAUCCAACCUGCCCAUCACUUGGGGAUAACCUUGCGAAAGUAAGACUAAUACCCAAUGACGUCUCUAGAAGACAUCUGAAGGAGAUUAAAAGAUUUAUCGGUGAUGGAUGGGGAUGCGUCUGAUUAGCUUGUUGGCGGGGUAACGGCCCACCAAGGCGACGAUCAGUAGGGGUUCUGAGAGGAAGGCCCCCCACAUUGGAACUGAGACACGGUCCAAACUCCUACGGGAGGCAGCAGUGAGGAAUAUUGGUCAAUGGACGAGAGUCUGAACCAGCCAAGUAGCGUGCAGGAUGACGGCCCUAUGGGUUGUAAACUGCUUUUAUAAGGGAAUAAAGUGAGUCUCGUGAGACUUUUUGCAUGUACCUUAUGAAUAAGGACCGGCUAAUUCCGUG